CCUACGGGUGGCUGCAGUGGGGAAUAUUGGACAAUGGGCGAAAGCCUGAUCCAGCCAUGCCGCGUGUGUGAAGAAGGCCUUCGGGUUGUAAAGCACUUUCAGUGGGGAAGAAAGCCUUGGGGCUAAUACCCUCGAGGAAGGACAUCACCCACAGAAGAAGCACCGGCUAACUCCGUGCCAGCAGCCGCGGUAAUACGGAGGGUGCGAGCGUUAAUCGGAAUUACUGGGCGUAAAGCGCGCGUAGGCGGUCUGAUAAGCCGGUUGUGAAAGCCCCGGGCUCAACCUGGGAACGGCAUCCGGAACUGUCAGGCUAGAGUGCAGGAGAGGAAGGUAGAAUUCCCGGUGUAGCGGUGAAAUGCGGAGAGAUCGGGAGGAAUACCAGUGGCGAAGGCGGCCUUCUGGACUGACACUGACGCUGAGGUGCGAAAGCGUGGGUAGCAAACAGGAUUAGAUACCCGUGUAGUC
rnacentral:rRNA from 1 species